UCUUAGAUGACUGAGAUAAAUUAGGUGUUAGAUUUUUAAUCUAAAAACGGCAUAAAUCACGUGCCUCUAAGAAC
rnacentral:tRNA from 1 species